GUACCUGCACGAUCGAACCACCCAAGCCUAUGCCUUCAAAGAAUUGAUGAAAGCUAAGAGCACCAACAAGAGGCCUGAUGGUGGAUGACCUCACAGAUGCACCCAAGGACACCCCAAUGAUCACUGAAUGCACCAAAAUUCCGAGCUCAAGGACCUGCAUGGUGAGAGAUCUACUAUGUUAUUUCAAAAGAAGAACAGUGUGCAAGAUUCAAUUCUUGGGCUGGAGAGGAGCAUUAUAUUCUGAAGCGCAAACUAACACCCAGUCAAUAGUACAUUUGAGACUAUUUGUGAGGGAGGCUUAUGGGACAAAUCAAAUAACUGCUCUUACCUGAGAUACCACCCUGUGCCGGAUCGUGUCAGCUAUUGAAGCCUCCUCAGGUCAUCGAUUGGUCGUGCCUUCUUGAAGUGAGACCGGCGGUAGUACCCAGCAGCCAGUGAGUCUAUCACCAUUGUGGCCAUUGCAGCUGACAUCGCUAUGAGGCCCGCGAAGGGGAAAAUAUUACCAUCGCUGCCACCUUUGUAGAGGCAUGGGGAUUUCAGCCCAUCAAAGGCUGCUGGAAGAAUGUGGACCAUGCCGGUGGCAAGGAUGACCCCAGCUGCAAAUGCCUUGACUGCAAACAAGAUGUCACCAUCAGGGUUUAGCACAGCCAUGGAGCGGCCAAGCACAGGCACCAGCACGCCAGCUGCUCCAGCUGUUAGGAUGGAUGCAAUUGCGAUCAGCUUCAGCUUCAUUGCACCUCGCUUGUCAGUCGUAGUUCCUUCUGCGGCAUUUGUGCAAUUCGAGGUGCUGGCAACAGCCAGUUGUGCGAAGAGCAGGAGCCAUGGAAUCACUUUCAAGGUAUGCUUUGCAGCAUCCAUGGCGCUGGUUAUGUUUUGUCUUGUGAUAUGCUUUAUGUUCCAGUAUGAGUUGCAAGGAGAUGGUUGGUGCUUUAUAUAGGAGGAAUGUGUCGAUUGGGCUAGUUGCCAAAUUGACAUCCUGUGGCCAGGUGGGGUCUGCUACUCUCAGUUCCCAGAUCCUGUGGCCAAGUGUAAACAACUGCAGUGUUGUUGCUCAUACUGGAGCUUAUACCAGUCAUCAGUGUCAAGGACUGAGCUCCCACAACAUAGUACUGCUGUUAGUUGCCACUUUAUGAUGGCACUUAGUGACUGUUCGAUUGUCGAACAUGAAAAAAGGAGACCCAGCCAGAACCUCAGUUAUCUGAAUCUGAUCAUCAAGAGUCAGCUACCACGUCUCCUACUAGGCACUGUUCAUAACUGCUGCAUUACGGAUAGACAAAAGCGCAGGGCGAUAGAUGUCACUCGCCCUAUGCAAGCAAGGAUAUUGGCAGCAGGGGUGUGGAAUAUACUGGUGUCUGAGAACGUGAAUGGGUGAGUGAUGCUUUCUUGUAUGGUCAGAGGCUCAGAGCAUCAUUGAGUGCUGACACCAUGUUGUCAUCAGUUAGUUAAUUAGAUUAAACUCUUUUGAGGCUUGCACUUUGCAGGUGAUUUCUUUUAGGUGGUGGGCUGAAAAGGCUGUUUCGUUCAUGCCUAAUCAUCCGUGAUGAGACAUAUCUGUUCAUGGAAUGACCGCUAGAGUUAUUACUGAGAUUAAAAUUGACCCUUUUUGCAAGGAUAUUCCUCCUGUUUGGUUUAGUUCACUUAUCUUUUAUUGCAUCUGGAAGAUGCUGGCUCACCAUGCUGCUUUAUGAGCGUGCUCCUGGGCCAAACUGAUUGGUUUAUGUCCAUGGCUUUGGCAGGCAUCGCACUGUUUCCUGGAAGCUGCAUCUAAACUGAAGUGUCUUCCCACAGAGAAAUGCAUCUGGUAUAUAUUGAUUGGGACUAUUUAUUCAAUCCUGACAUGUGGGGAGAUAAAGAGGUUACAAAUAACAAUCCUGCGAAAGUGGCUACACCUGAUGAUUUGAUUGAAACUGAACUAAGAACACACGAUACUGAGUUGAUGAAUAUAUGGCCAUCAACUGCUUGCCACUGAAUAAGUUCAUCUGUCUAUGACUGUUGUUUCACUGGCAUUUGGGUCGAGCCUCACAAGUUGCAUACAGCGGAUUCUCAUGGAUCUUGGAGAAAGCCCAUUUAGGACAUGCAUACUGACUCCAUUGUGGUUGACUCCCCUGUGAGACAGAUCUCUGUACGACCGGUCCAAAUUUAUGUGACGUGGUAUGGCAAUUUGGCUCUAACUGGUGAAUGGCUUGGGUCGCAUGAUUGCACCUUUGGAUAGUUCGUAGUUCCACUACCCUUGACAUUGCAGAGGUCUCCUUGUCCAGUGUUCAGUGUCGAGGAAUAUUUGUGCAUACAUCAAACAGUAGCCAUUAAAUUAGGAGGGACCCUUUGGUUAGAUAGCUGAUGGUGAAAGCUCACACUUUUUUUAUUGGGAAAAGAACGUUCCACAUUGAUGGAAAGAGAGCAUGAAUGACGUUGCAGGAUUCUGGCCACAACAUGGAUAAGAUCUCUUCGUAGACUUGUCAUAGGUUUGGCAUGCUUCGCCAGUGUUGCUGCCAUGGAUUUACUGGUUUUGCACAAAGAACAUGGAUGAAAAGGCACUGCCAUUGUUGAAGAGUCCUCCCUGUUCACUUUGAUUGGUUGAAUGUAGGAAGCGACAGCCCUCUGCAUCUUUUUUUAUCAGAAUGGGUACCCCAAUUGCUCGCUUCAUUUCAACUUUUCUUGGCACAAACUUGCCGCAUCAUUGGAGGCAUAACAAGUGAUGUAUACAUGCAAUGAACAACACUCGGAAAGUUGCUCGUCCGUGUGGGGCUGUGGUGUGUGGACCUUCCAAAAACUCAUCCAGGUUCGUGGCUUCGACUGCUGAGAAGGAUCUUUGCCGGAUUCUUCCUGCUCCAUAUCAUCCUUGGAUUGAACCAUUCCAGUCCUCAGAGAAUGACAUUUCAGUGAAGUGGCUGGCCCAAAAAUAUCAGCUCAUGUCUUUCCUACGUGUGAAUAUUGCAGUGGCAGUUGGCCUGAAGAGUAAAGGCGGCAGAUGAUUACUAUCAAGCUUGGCAGUUGACGCGCUCUGCAUAAUCGCAGCGGUCAUCAUCAUCAGGUCAGUUAAGUUCAUAUGGUCUACCGAGCAGUGUCCAAGUUAUCGUCCUAGGAUCAUUACGUUCUAAUGACCACAGAAUCGCAAUUCGUUGAAGUGGACGCCAAACUUAUCAGCCAAUAUGUCCCAACUUGUGAACAUCGCAAAGGAAGUUGGCCUAAAGAUGAACAACCUGAAUGUACAAGCCUGACAGCUGACAAACAAGCACGCUUUGCAUAAACAUGGACUCGGUAAUGCCCGUCACUCUGCGGUCAUGUAAGCUAGCUCAGCUGCUCAGUUCACAUCACAUGGUUUACUGAGCAGUCAUGGCCGGUGCACUAGAGGGGGGAAAAAAGGGAGGCCGGAGAAGGCGAUUGGACGCGCAGUGAGAAGAGGACAAGCAUGUUGGAAGGGACAACGUGACUCGUGUACAAACAGCAGGGGUACCACUGAGGGAAAGCCAGUGUUCGUGGGGGAGCCAAUAAUGCCGGCGAGAUGCAUGUUACACGAUGAUGGCGCGCUUGACUUGACUCCUGGCCGGCGCCGGUGCUUCGCCUGAUGAACUCGUCGGCACUGUGCUCGUGACCGUUCUGAAAGCUGCGGGUUUCAGAAGCUGAAGGUGCCUAAUUCUUCAGAUUUAGGUCUGCCAAUCUCAAGCACCUGCUGUUCCGCUGUCUCUGCAGUUGUGCUUUUCACUCUCAUGAUUUUUAGAGCAAUCUGUCUGUGCAGUUGUUGAAGUGUCGAACACUUUUAGGCAAAAGAGAGGAGAAAUGUAGCAACUCUGUUUUCUUCUUAACCAAAGAAGUUUAUGCACUUUUCAGGCAAA